GGGGACUUAGCUCAGUGGUAGAGCGCUUGCCUAGCAAGCACAAGGCCCUGGGUUCGAUCCCCAGCUCCG
rfam:Rattus norvegicus chromosome 10, whole genome shotgun sequence.